rnacentral:lncRNA from 1 species
GUCUCCUUCUUUCUUUCUUUUUCUUAAUACUAGCACUUUCCCCAGCCACCUUAGUUUUACUACAGAUGACCCUUCAUAGCAAAGUAUUUACAGGCAAGUAAAACUAGUUAAACAUCAGGAUAUUUAUUUUGCGUACAAAUAUUUACAGAAAAAAAAAUACUUAAAAAAUUAAGUAUUCAAAUCUGAAUUGACUUCAAAAAAGCUUCAAGCUUUUACCUUAUAAAAACAUAUUGCCUUUACUGUGCUCAAAUUUAGAAUUCAGAUCCCUGGAUUUUCUUAUCAAGGCUUUCUUCUGUGCUUCAUCAAAUCGAUUGACUUUGAGAUCCUGCUCUCGGUCAAACGGCCUUCUCUCCUGAGGUUUGUUCUUUUCCUCAGAUGCUUUGCUCUUCAGCUUUUUCUGAUGUAUGUCCAUGAGAGACUCUGAUCUCUUUGACUCAUUAUAAGAAGUCACCUGCUCAACAAGUCUCUUGUCUCUCCCAGAUAAUACCAUUUCUUCAUUAUCCUUACUGGUUGACUUCUUUGCCUCUUCUCUUUCCUUGGCUUUUCUCUCUCUGUCAGCUGGAGUAUCUGUCCACACAGACCUAUCACCCGAUUUGUCUUCAGCUCUUCUCUUGAAUGUUCUUGGGCCAAAUCCAAAGCUUUUCAGCUCAGGUGGAAGUUCUGUCAUCCACGAUUCCCUUGUAACUUGCUUGGGUUCAUCACUGUCUGCUGAGGUAAGUUUCUCCUUCAUUCUCUGAGCUCUGCGUUCAAAUUCUUGAGUCACAUCAGACUCCACUGGUCCUUUUG